UUCUCUGUAGCUGGAAUGAGAGCAGUGGUUACAGUGUGUUUCUCAGGUGGAGGCAUGUUAGAGGAAUAAUUUCUGGGCUGUGGAUCAAGUGGAGUAGAUUCCUGUGGAGAAGAUGUUAUAACAGGAACAGGCGGUAGAAGAAGUGGAAGGGUGUGAACCGCUGUGGGAGGAGUUUCUGGGAGUUUUAUCAGCCUCGGUUAUCAUGUUUUCCUCAAAAGGAAUGAAGGGACAAGAAUCCGUGUAAUGGCCCAGACAUCCGCAGGAAUAGCAGUAGUGAGUGGUGUAGAUAAAUCCAAUUCAACACGAGCACGACAAGCUUUCAAGGCAGAACCAGAGGCGAACUCAGAUUUAACUUGCAAAACAGGGCCAACCGUACUAACAGCAGUGCGAAUCAUUUCAGCAGUACUACACUCCAAAGACUGACUGAAAAGCCGGAAAAUUAAAGGAAGGGUUGGAGGGGACUUUACCGAUUAACAGAAGCUUACAUUCCUCAACCGCACCAGCAAUUCUGGAUGCAUCCGGGUCAUCGUCAAGGGCCAUCGAUGAAAUAGUGGAACUAAUCAACAGAGGGAAGUUGGUAGCUUCGAUAAUAUCGACAUGCAAGAGUAGAUAAGUGAAGAGAAAGAGGAAAAAGUAAGAAAUGGGUAGCGAUUUAGGUGGAUGUAAGACUGAGAGGAAGAGAAGGAUGAUAGAGAACCAUCGACAUGGCAGGAAGAUCAACAGGAGGCUAUAGAAGAGGAGGAACGAUGAAGAGCUCUACCCAGGUGAUAGAGAGGAUCUCGACAA